rnacentral:rRNA from 1 species
CUACGGAGGGUGCAAGCGUUACUCGGAAUCACUGGGCGUAAAGCGCGCGCAGGCGGGCUGAUAAGUUGGAUGUGAAAGCCUACGGCUCAACCGUAGAACUGCAUCCAAAACUGUCAGUCUAGAGUCUGUGAGGGGAAGAUGGAAUUAGUUGUGUAGGGGUAAAAUCCGUAGAGAUAACUAGGAAUACCAAAAGCGAAGGCAAUCUUCUGGAACAUUACUGACGCUGAGGCGCGAAAGCGUGGGGAGCAAACAGGAUUAGAUACCCUAGUAGUCC